rnacentral:lncRNA from 1 species
GCAAAAUUUGCAUUGAAGCGUUUUUGGAACAGUGAGGUCUGCUAACAGCUGUAUUCAAUCUUGAGUAAAAUCACUUCCUGAAAAAAGUGAAAUUAAACUUAAUAUACAAGCUUGCUUGGAAUAUAAUACCGUGGAGUUAGGGAACUUUGUGAUUAUGAAACCGAAUCCACUCACCCUGCUGAGCAGUGAGAUACUAAUUAAAGAGAGGACACAGUGACCCUGGGUUGUUUAGAAGUCAC